GCCAGUGUGGUCUAGUGGUUUGAGUGUUGGACUAUGACUCUGGAGACUAGGGUUCACAUCCCCUCUUGGCCA